rnacentral:rRNA from 1 species
AUACGUAUGGUGCAAGCGUUAUCCGGAUUUACUGGGCGUAAAGGGAGCGUAGGCGGAGAUUCAAGCGGAUUGUACAAUCCCGGGGCCCAACCCCGGCUCUGCAGUCCGAACUGGAUCUCUUGGAUAGUUCAGGGGCAGGCGGAAUUCCUGGUGUAGCGGUGGAAUGCGUAGAGAUCAGGAAGAACACCGAUGGCGAAGGCAGCCUGCUGGGGACUUAUCGACGCUGAGGCUCGAAAGUGCGGGUAGCAAACAGGAUUAGAUACCCUGGUAGUCCGCACCGUAAACGAUGCAUACUGGGUGUCCGGGGGUUCCCCCGGGUACCGUAGCCAACGCGUUAAGUAUGCCGCCUGGGGAGUACGUACGCAAGUAUGAAACUCAAAGGAAUUGGCGGGG